rnacentral:rRNA from 1 species
UGUCUCAAAGAUUAAGCCAUGCAUGUCUAAGUAUAAGCAAUCUAUACGGUGAAACUGCGAAUGGCUCAUUAAAUCAGUUAUCGUUUAUUUGAUAGUACCUUACUACAUGGAUAACCGUGGUAAUUCUAGAGCUAAUACAUGCUAAAAACCCCGACUUCGGGAGGGGUGUAUUUAUUAGAUAAAAAACCAACGCCCUUCGGGGCUCCUUGGUGAUUCAUAAUAACUCAACGAAUCGCAUGGCCUUGCGCCGGCGAUGGUUCAUUCAAAUUUCUGCCCUAUCAACUUUCGAUGGUAGGAUAGUGGCCUACCAUGGUAUCAACGGGUAACGGGGAAUUAGGGUUCGAUUCCGGAGAGGGAGCCUGAGAAACGGCUACCACAUCCAAGGAAGGCAGCAGGCGCGCAAAUUACCCAAUCCCGACACGGGGAGGUAGUGACAAUAAAUACUGAUACAGGGCUCUUUUGGGUCUUGUAAUUGGAAUGAGUACAAUUUAAAUCCCUUAACGAGGAACAAUUGGAGGGCAAGUCUGGUGCCAGCAGCCGCGGUAAUUCCAGCUCCAAUAGCGUAUAUUAAAGUUGUUGCAGUUAAAAAGCUCGUAGUUGAACCUUGGGCCUGGCUGGCCGGUCCGCCUCACCGCGUGUACUGGUCCGGCCGGGCCUUUCCUUCUGGGGAUCCGCAUGCCCUUCACUGGGUGUGCCGGGGAACCAGGACUUUUACUGUGAAAAAAUUAGAGUGUUCAAAGCAGGCCUUUGCUCGAAUACAUUAGCAUGGGAUAAUAGAAUAGGAC